AAAACAACUCCCUUUCCAUGGGAUCAGUUAUAAGAAGAAUGGCCAUGCAAUGAGCCACUUAGUUUCUUGAUCGUACCACUGGAAGGCUUGCACACAUUUCUGAAAAAAAAAGCACUGGCUGGCUUAUUCACCUCUAUAUGGUCGAUUGCUGUUUCUUCCGGACCAAAGGAGCAGAUUGGUUAGUGAAGAUUAUUGGAUACUGAUUUGAGACAUCCUUGGUUGGAGAAAUAUUUGGAAGUCUUAUGUCUCUUAUUCAAAUACAGAACAGUCAAAGAGGCUUGAGCACCAUCAUUGAAUCCAUGAACUUCAUCCUCAUGUUGGGAACCCAAGAUGCUGACCACAGCAAGGCACUGUGUAAAGAGGUGUCAUUUCCCUGUGGUGUUAUGACAGGAAAGCCCAGAGAAUCUCUGCUUCCAGAGAUGAAGAAACUGAGGCACAGAGACUAUUUACCAGGUCACAGGGCCUGAUUGGUGCUGGGUGCUGACUUGGAGGUUCGUGCUAUUUCUCCCAGGAUCAGAGAAAUGGCAAGAGCUUGGGAACUGAAGGUGGAAAGAGGUGAAUACAGAAUACAGGCAGCAGUUAACAGAAGAAAUAGAAGGAAAGAGGGUGAAGAAGAAGUAAGUGAAAGAAACACUGAAUCUGUGAGUGAGAGCUUAAGCGGAAAGGGUAGAAGGAAAGAAUCCCAAGAUGACUCUAAACUGAGCAUGGAGCCCAAUGUGGGGCUCGAUUCCAGGACCAUGAGAUCAUGACCUGAGCCGAAACCAAGAGUUGGACACUUAACUGGUGAGCCCCCCAUGUGCCCCAGUGCUCAUCCCCUUUUUGAUGUCAGAAAUGGUGUCUUAAUCUCUUACUUUCCCAUCAAUUAGGAAGGAAGUUAAGAGAAAAUAGUCAAGACAUCACGGAUGAUUUAACAGAGCAAACGCUAUACCCUUGACCGGAGAGAAAAUAAGUAAGAGUGAACU
rnacentral:lncRNA from 1 species